rnacentral:rRNA from 1 species
GACGGGGGGAGCAAGCGUUGUUCGGAAUUACUGGGCGUAAAGGGCGUGUAGGCGGUCAGGUAAGUGGGAUGUGAAAUGCCCCGGCUCACCCGGGGACCGGCAUCCCAUACUGCUUGGCUUGAGUACGGGAGAGGAUGUGGGAAUUCCUGGUGUAGCGGUGAAAUGCGUAGAUAUCAGGAGGAACACCGGUGGCGAAGGCGCACAUCUGGCCCGAUACUGACGCUGAGGCGCGAAAGCUAGGGGAGCAAACGGG